rnacentral:rRNA from 1 species
CCUACGGGAGGCUGCAGUGGGGAAUAUUGGAUAAUGGAGGAAACUCUGACCCAGCGACGCCGCGUGAAUGAUUAAGGUCUUCGGGUUGUAAAGUUCUUGUCUAGGGGAAGCAGAAAGUGACGGUACCUUAGGAAUAAGCCUCGGCUAACUACGUUCCAGCAGCCGCGGUAAUACGUAGGAGGCGAGCGUUAUUCGGAAUGACUGGGCGGAAAGGGUGCGUAGGUGGUUUGGCAAGUUAGUAGCGUAACUCCAAGGCUCAACCUUGGAACUACUACUAAAACUGUUGGACUUGAGUGCAGGAGGGGGAACCGGAAUUCCUAGUGUAGCGGUGGAAUGCGUAGAUAUUAGGAGGAACACCAGUGGCGAAGGCGGGUUGCUAGACAGUAACUGACACUGAGGCACGAAAGCGAGGGGAGCAAAAAGGAUUAGAUACCCGGGUAGUC